AGAAAAAAGAAGACACUUUGGAAGAAAAACAAAGGGCCAAUUUCGGCCAAGCUUGGAGGAAACAAGAACCUUGGAAAAAUUUCUCAAAAAUUACUCUCUACUAAUUGGAAGGUCCCUAGCAAGGAGAAGAGGUCAUUGGAACAAGUAGAACAUUUAUUGUUGCAAGAUCAACAUUCUAGCCAAGUGGGAAAUUGAAGAAAAAGGAUUUUGGCGGAUUUGGAACGUGAAUUUGGAGUCGCAUAAGAAGCAGAAAAGGUACACCAGAUGAGCCACAGCUAUCAUAGAAGAUGUUCCAGCGGAGUUGGCAGGCUCCACUUGUUCUGGAGUGCUGCCGAGUCAGAGUGUCUGAGCCAUGAUGUUUGUUUGAUGUUAGAGACUUUGCAGACAGAGUCGUGGGUAUAGAGUGUCGAUAAUAUGUUGUAUCAUAAAGUCCAUGUGAUUGCAGAUUCUGUUUGACUUGAG